GACGAACGCUGGCGGCGUGCUUAACACAUGCAAGUCAAGGACCGUAGCAAUACGGGACUGGCGCACGGGUGCGGAACACGUAGGCCAAUCUGCCCUUCAGGGGAGAACAACCAGCCGAAAGGUUGGCUAAAUCUCCGUAAAAUCAUAGAGUGGCAUCACUUAUUGAUCAAGUUUUCUGAAGGAUGAGCCUGCGUCUGAUUAGCUAGUUGGCGGGUAACGCCACCAAGGCUACGAUCAGUAGCUGGUCUGAGAGGAUGAUCAGCCACAGUUGGGACUGAGAUACGGCCAGACUCCUACGGGAGCAGCAGUGA
rnacentral:rRNA from 1 species